rnacentral:lncRNA from 1 species
CCUUCAAGUUCAUUCAACUAUCCAAAUUUGCCCAAGAGAUCAUACCUACCAAAAAUAAGAAGGCCUUGAAGUUUCUUAAGGGUCUAAGGGUCGACAUCUUCAACCUAGUGGCCAUGAUGAGGCCAAACAUCUAAGUUGAAGCCCUCAAGCAUGCCUAGUUGGCUGACAAACUUCUUGCCACCCAUUACGGGCGCAUUCAUAAUGUCAUAGCAGAACACCCAGAAUGGCUCUUACCAUAAUUACUACCCCACCUUCACCUCUUAGUAAUCCUUCUCAACAUGCUUAGACAUGUUAGUACUGUGGUCAAGACCAUAGUAACUGACCUUGCUAUAUGUUGAUCAAUGCUUGGUAUAAGUGUGGUAGUACAUAACAUUUCGUGAAGGACUGUCCCAAAAUGUUUAGGGAUACUACGAAACCUGUUGCCAGAGGAAGGUUGACGCAGAAGGGUAUCAAAAGGAUCAUUUUGAUUCCCCAAACCUCAACCCAGUCGCAUGCAAUAUCAAAACUCAAACUGUCUAAUUAAAAUCCAUCCCGCUAACUAAAUUCACAACCCUAAAAUUAGGAAUAUAAAAACAAAAACUAGGGAAAUAAAAAUGAGAAAAAGAAGGACACCCUACUUACCUGAUAAGU